UUUAAAUAGCUGCAGUAUUUUAACUGUACUAAGGUAGCAUAAUAAUUAGUCUCUUAAUUGGGGUCUGGAAUGAAUGGUUUGACAAAAGAAUAACUUUAUUAAUAAAUUUUUUUUUAAUUUUAUUUUUUGGUUAAAAAGCUAAAAUUUUUAAGUGGGACGAUAAGACCCUAUAGAUCUUUAAAUUUUAAUUUAUAAUUAUUUUUUAGUGUGAAGUAAAUUUUAUUUUUAAAAAAUUUUUUGUUGGGGUGACAUAUAAAUUUUUAAAACUUUAUAAUUUUUUUACAUUGAUAGAUGUUUUAAAUUGAUCCAAUUUUUUUUGAUUAUUAAAAUAAGAUACCUUAGGGAUAACAGCGUAAUAAAUUUGUAUAGUUCAUAUAGAUAAAUUUGUUUACGACCUCGAUGUUGAAUUAAUUAAAAUUUUUGGAGCAGAAAUUAAAAUUUUAGGUCUGUUCGACCUUUAAAAUAUUACA
rnacentral:rRNA from 1 species